rnacentral:tRNA from 1 species
UGCAUCGGCCGGGAAUCGAACCCGGGCGGCCCGCGUGGCAGGCGAGCAUUCUACCACUAAGCCACCGAUGC